AACGGAACCCGGCCGGUCCAGACUGGCUCUGGCCUGCAGAGAAACUGCUGCAUAAAUCCACAUUCAGUUUUCCUGAAUGACACCUGUUGAAACACCAGAAUGAGAACAAAGAGAUGAAACAGUUUUAUCUGUCAACUCUGCAGCUUCUGACCUGGAAGGAAGAAACAGACAACGACCGACCGACCGACUCGGUGGGUUCUGGUUUCUCUGGGCUCAUCCAUGAAGCUGCACCUUCUGCUGCGUUCCUGCAGUUACAGAUCGCAGUCACACUUCUGUGUGAACGGUUUCUGACCCCAAAGCAAACAUAGCAGCUCCGUGUUUAUUGCAGUAAAGAUGGCCGCCGCAGUCAAGAUGGCCGCCGCAGUAAAGAUGGCCGCCAUCUCGGGGUGGAUGAUAAAAUUGCUGAGAGCGACAGCGCGGUCAGCUAACGGGAAGCUAA